CUCACUUCCUCCCAUGUCAUCACAAGGUGUGAGUCGCAGGGCUUCGUGUUCCUCCUGGCGCUUACCAAAUCCCGAACGUAACCUCCUACUACUUAUUUGUUGCUCUUUUUAGGGCCGCACCUGCAGCAUGUGGAGGGUCCCGGGCUAGGGGUGGAAUCGGAGCUGCAGCUGGGGGCCUGCCCCACAGCCACAGCAGUGCGAUCCCAGUGGGAUCUGUGACCAUGCCGCAGCUCGUGGCGAUGCCGGAUCCUUAACUUGUGAGCCGUGGUAGCAACUCCAUAUCCUCCUUUCUUGUUUUAAACUUUAAAAAUUGCGGUGUGGUUGAUGUUUCCUGCUUGCUUAUUUGUUUGUAUUUUUGUCUUUUCCCUACUGCGCUUUAAGCUCCUUGAGGGCAGGGCUGGUCCUUCCUCCCAGCAUGUCCCGAACUCCUUGUGAGGGCAGGGUGUCCUGCCCAGCUGGGGGACUCCCUGGAGGAGCUGGGCAGUCUCUUCCUGCAGACGCUGGUCCUGACCCCACAGCAGCAGGGCUUGUCCAGCCACCAUUCCUUCCACAUCUCUGCAGGUCCCUCUCCAUCAGCGCUGGGUCAACAGCCCCAGGCUAAGACAAGAACCCCUACUUGGGUCCAGCAACCCUUCCCUGUCCCUGCAGCCGCGUUUUGUCCUGGAGGCCACCAGGUGGCGUCGCAGGCCCACGCGUGAUCGGCGAGGACUGCGGAGGCGCCCCGGCUCCUGUCUCCAGGAGGCGGUGGGGCGGGGGUCGGAGCCUUUCGGGAGCUCUGACCCAGCUCCUUUCUGUUGCUGGAUGGGUUGGUGACUCAGUGAACAUUUGUGAUUUGACAGAUUUGGUGGCAGUGGUGGGAUCAAAGAAAAUUCCAGCAGCUUCGGUGACAAGGAGAAAAGCAGUCAUGGUACGUUGUGUUUUUUGUUUUUUGUUUUUUGUUUUUGUCUUUUUGCCAUUUCUUGGGCUGCUCCCGCGGCAUAUGGAGGUUCUCAGGCUAGGGAUCGAAUUGGAGCUGUAGCCACCAGCCUACGCCAGAGCCACAGCAGCACAGGAUCCAAGCCGCAUCUGCAACCUACACCACAGCUCACGGCAACGCCGGAUCCUUAACCCACUGAGCAAGGCCAGGGAUCGAACCCGCAGCCUCAGGGUUCUUAGUUGGAUUCGUUAACCACUGCACCACGACGGGAACUCCAAUGGUACCUUUUGAGUUCACAGAAUUCUUGCUGCUUCCAGAGGCCAUGGGUAAAGUCCCUCCCAGUUCUGGGCUCUGCUACCUGGGUCAGGCUCCCAUCUAAUUGGCUUACAGGGCAGGACAGCUCCUGCUGGAGACAAGUCCCCGGCUUUUCAGACCACAAGUCCCAGGUGUCUGUGUAGAACCCCCGUGGGUUCUAUCCGUGUAGAGCCCUUUGGUGAGGUCUGAUGGUCCAACCCCUUCCCCAGGCCGGGGUUCCAGAGCCGAUGUGCAGGGCCUUUCCCUGGCCAGGCUGGAGCCCCAUGUCUUGAUUGCUGGUGUGUUAAGUGCACAUAUUUGCCUUAUUUUGUGCAGAAAGAAGCUACUGCUAGUGGUGAUCUCAGAGGCCAAAAAGCUGCAAAAACUGGUGACCACAGGUUGAGCACCUACAGGCUGUCCUCAGACCCAAGGCCUCGUGUGU
ensembl:lncRNA